ensembl:snoRNA
AACCAGUGAUGUUAAUGAUUCUGCCAAAUGAAAUGGCUAUGAUUUCACCCAUAAACCGUUCCAUUUUUUUUUUCUGAGGUU